UGGAAAAGCUGAUGAAGCUACAACUGUGGUA
rnacentral:piRNA from 1 species